rnacentral:rRNA from 1 species
UACAGAGGGUGCGAGCGUUGUUCGGAAUUAUUGGGCGUAAAGGGCGCGUAGGCGGCGCGGUAAGUCACCUGUGAAAUCUCCUGGCUCAACUGGGAGCUUGCAGGCGAAACUGCCGUGCUGGAGUGUGGGAGAGGUGCGUGGAAUUCCUGGUGUAGCGGUGAAAUGCGCAGAUAUCAGGAGGAACACCGGUGGCGAAGGCGGGUCUCUGGGCCGUAACUGACGCUGAGGAGCGAAAGCGUGGGGAGCGAACAGG